rnacentral:rRNA from 1 species
AUACGGAGGGGGUUAGCGUUGUUCGGAAUUACUGGGCGUAAAGCGCACGUAGGCGGAUUGGAAAGUUGGGGGUGAAAUCCCAGGGCUCAACCCUGGAACUGCCUCCAAAACUAACGGUCUAGAGUUCGAGAGAGGUGAGUGGAAUUCCAAGUGUAGAGGUGAAAUUCGUAGAUAUUUGGAGGAACACCAGUGGCGAAGGCGGCUCACUGGCUCGAUACUGACGCUGAGGUGCGAAAGCGUGGGGAGCAAACAGGAUUAGAAACCCUAGUAGUCC